AUUAAGAAUCGAUAAUUUAUUUAUAAACAAAUUAUCAAAUUGUCAACAUGUGGGCGAUUAAUUUAUCCGUCGAGCCGGUGGCCAGUGAUAUAACCUGAACAGUGACUAUAGGCGUUAUGAUUUAGGAGGUGCCGUCCACCAAUUUUUGCGGCAGAGCUUCGGAUUUAGUCACCUAGCUAAUGAAAGUGGAAAGCAACUUUACAGAAUUUACAUCUUUUAGUGAAAAAGAAAAACAACUUUAGAAGAUAUGUCAAAAAGGUCGGUGAAAAGUCUGUGCGGCGGUGCGCAAGCUCCGUACGGCCUCUGACUGGGCAAUAGCAGGUCAGGUAAUCACCACCCUGUGAAAAGUCACUCUUUUGUCUUGUGGCUCGCCGCUCGUGCCUGAGCGCUGAUGCAAAGCAAGGUUUAAAGACGGAGUGAAUCGAGAAACGGUGGGCUGUGAUUAGGAUGUAUGGCUUUACGAAAUUGCCCCUGUCCAGCUGAGAGAAGCAACUGUCAAUUCAAAGCGGGGGUCGCAUUCGCUAUGAGAGUUGACGCCCACGCUACAUGGACGUGUACGGCCUCCCAAGAAGGAAAUUAUGCGCUCGAUCAGCCAGGGUCAUCUCAAAUUACAUAAAUACCCACCAAACGUUAAUUGGUAUUCUAGUAUCAAUUAUUAUUUGUACAAUUAUGUCAACAUUUUUUUUUUGUUAUUCUAGUUUUCAAUAAAAUGUGGUUAAUGGAGG
rnacentral:lncRNA from 1 species